rnacentral:piRNA from 1 species
UAGGGUUCUAAGGCAAAAGUCUA